UACGUAGGGAGCAAGCGUUGUCCGGAAUCAUUGGGCGUAAAGCGCGCGUAGGUGGCUCUAUAAGUCCGUUGUGAAAGUCAAAGGCUCAACCUUUGAAAGCCGAUGGAUACUGUAGAGCUAGAGUCCGGAAGAGGCGAGUGGAAUUCCUGGUGUAGCGGUGGAAUGCGCAGAUAUCAGGAGGAACACCAAUAGCGAAGGCAGCUCGCUGGGACGUGACUGACACUGAGGCGCGAAAGCGUGGGGAGCGAACAGG
rnacentral:rRNA from 1 species